GACCCAGCCCACUAGCAACAAUAACUCGUUGGGCCAAACCAUCGGCCCAAAAUGCUUAAGCCCAGUUAUUAUUACUAGUGUCUAAGUCUCUUAUAAACCCAAUGACAACCCCAUUCCCAUCCGAUGUGGGAUUAUUGGGGUGUCACAGACUCCCCCCGUUAAGGCCCCGACGUCCUCGUCAGUCCAAACACACACAGCCCAAGAUCACCAGGCUAUGUGAGACUCGUCUCGCUAGCCCGUCAUCCAGACCCUGGCUCAGCCGAGACUCGCCACACAUGUCCAGCUGGUGAACCAGCUCUGAUACCAAAUAAAACGACCCAGCCCACUAGCAACAAUAACUCGUUGGGCC
rnacentral:lncRNA from 1 species